UGCGGAAGGAUCAUUAAUGAAUUGUAAUGGAGGCUGAUGCUGGGAAAGUCAACUUUGUUGGCCUCCAUGUGCUCGCCGCCCAACAAUAUUUUGUCCAAAUAYAACCACCUGYGCACAUUUCGGGGGAGAGAGAGGGGUGUUCUCUUACUUGUUCCCUCGAUAUACAACCACCGCCUUACAAUAUUGAACGUGAUUGUGCCGCCAGGCUUUUAACGAAAUACAACUUUUAACAACGGAUCUCUUGGCUCUCGCAUCGAUGAAGAACGCAGCGAAAUGCGAUAUGUAAUGUGAAUUGCAGAAUUCAGUGAAUCAUCGAAUCUUUGAACGCACCUUGCGCCCCCUGGUAUUCCGGGGAGCACUCCUGUUCGAGUGUCGUGAAUUCUUCAAGCCUCUGGAUGUUUUUCAUCUCACGGGCUUGGUAGUAUUGGGCUUUGCUGUGCCAUUUGUUGGAGCGGCUUGCCUUAAAAUCAUUAGCUGAUCCUUAUGCGGCAUUGGUUCUACUUGGCGUGAUAACAAUCUGACCGCUGAGGACAUCUCCUGUGGGAUGGCCAAUUCUUCAUCUGGGUUGCUUCUAAUUUGGGCCCGUGCCCCUUUGCAGAUUCUGAUUCUGCUGUGUUGCGCACGGCUCCCUUUUCUCCUUUGACCUCGAAUCAGGUGGGACUACCCGCUGAACUUAAGCAUA
rnacentral:rRNA from 1 species